UUCCGUUUAGUUAGGAAAGAGUGAUUCUUAAAGUAUUCUCUUUGACGAGACGAAGGUUCCAAAUGCAAUCAAAUAAAAUCCACCUCUCCUCCCUCAUCCAUGGACAAGUUCAGAGUCACAUCAUUGGGCAUAUAUUAUUGUUGGUGAACUUAAAUUACUCUCAUCUAACCUUGCAAAUUUACACUGCAGCUGUUUCCCCCUACCUCGCCCACCUUGCAAGGGUCUCUUUGUAAUAAACAUCCUCUGUCAUAUCCUGAAUUUAAAAUUAAGUUCCUUGGAGACCAACUAGAGGAUAACCAUUCAAUGGAAAAACUGGGCCAAAAAGGGGGAUUGGGCUUGUAAUAGUUGACUCUAUUAAAUUUUGCUUUCAAUUUAAUCCUUCUUCAGCUAUCAAUAGAUACAUGUAGACUCUGAAUUAUUGUGUGUGUUCUGAAUAAGCUAUGAAAGGAAGCAAUUGUACAGAAAUGUCAAGUAUCCAAUACUAAAUGACCUUCGUAGUACAAAGGGUGUGAUUUAUUUCUUAUUUUCUGCAUUCCAAUAAUUUGUGGUUCUGCAUUAUUAGGGAUGCAAUUGUCCUGAGGAAAAUACUGCACAGUUAAACAAUAUUCUAUCUGAAUGAAUUGUGGAUAAUAAGAUAGCUGUGCUUAACACAAGACUGCAAACAGAUUGUCAGGGCCUGUCAAAUGCAUAACAAGAGAAUGGAAUUAAUGCCUCAGCUGGUAUCCAGGCAGGGGUGCAGAGAUAAAGAGAAGGCAUUUAAUGGCAACCAUAGGACAAUUACAAUCAGAAUACCAAAAGCUACAUAUUAGAGUACAGGCAAGUGUUGCAAGCACAUUGAUCUUCUUGAAUAAACUUCCCUCUGAACUGAACCCUAUAAUAAGGUCCAUCAUGGACUCUAUCAAGAAAGAAGAGCAAACCAUC